rnacentral:rRNA from 1 species
UCGAUUUGGAGUUUGUUGCCCUGAGUGAUGGGCUCCGAAGCUAACGCGAUAAAUCGACCACCUGGGGAGUACGGCCGCAAGGUUAAAACUCAAAUGAAUUGACGGGGGCCCGCACAAGCGGUGGAGCAUGUGGUUUAAUUCGAUGCAACGCGAAGAACCUUACCUGGUCUUGACAUCCACAGAAUCUUGCAGAGAUGCGAGAGUGCCUUCGGGAACUGUGAGACAGGUGCUGCAUGGCUGUCGUCAGCUCGUGUUGUGAAAUGUUGGGUUAAGUCCCGCAACGAGCGCAACCCUUAUCCUUUGUUGCCAUUGGUUCGGCCGGGAACUCAAAGGAGACUGCCGUUGAUAAAGCGGAGGAAGGUGGGGACGACGUCAAGUCAUCAUGGCCCUUACGACCAGGGCUACACACGUGCUACAAUGGCGUAUACAAAGGGAGGCGACCUCGCGAGAGCAAGCGGACCUCAUAAAGUACGUCUAAGUCCGGAUUGGAGUCUGCAACUCGACUCCAUGAAGUCGGAAUCGCUAGUAAUCGUGAAUCAGAAUGUCACGGUGAAUACGUUCCCGGGCCU